GUGAGUCAUCGAAUCUUUGAACGCACCUUGCGCUCCUUGGUAUUCCGAGGAGCAUGCCUGUUUGAGUGUCAUUAAAUAUAUCAACCUCUUCCAGCUUUUUGCUCGUUGAGUGUUGGAUGUUGGGGGUAAAUUUCUUGCUGGACUCACAACACGUGAGGUCAGCUCCCCUAAAAUGCAUUAGCAAAACAAGUUGUCGAUCGUUCAUUGGUGUGAUAGCUAUCUACGCUAUAGACGGUGAGGCAGGUUUAGCUUCUAACAGUCCAUUUGACUUGGACAAAUUUUAUUAAUGUGACCUCAAAUCAGGUAGGACUACCCGCUGAACUUA
rnacentral:rRNA from 1 species